rnacentral:rRNA from 1 species
UGGGGAAUAUUGGACAAUGGGGGCAACCCUGAUCCAGCAAUGCCGCGUGUGUGAAGAAGGCCUGCGGGUUGUAAAGCACUUUCAAUCGUGAAGAAAAGCAAACGGUUAAUACCCGUAUGUCUUGACGUUAACGAUACAAGAAGCACCGGCUAACUCCGUGCCAGCAGCCGCGGUAAUACGGAGGGUGCGAGCGUUAAUCGGAAUUACUGGGCGUAAAGAGCACGUAGGCGGUUUGGUCAGUCGGAUGUGAAAGCCCCGGGCUUAACCUGGGAAUUGCAUUCGAUACUGCCAAGCUAGAGUUUAGUAGAGGAAUGCGGAAUUCCGGGUGUAGCGGUGAAAUGCGUAGAGAUCCGGAGGAACAUCAGUGGCGAAGGCGGCAUUCUGGGCUAAAACUGACGCUGAGGUGCGAAAGCGUGGGGAGCAAACAGGAUUAGAUACCCCCGUAGUCC